GCAGCCGCGGUAAUACGUAGGUGGCAAGCGUUAUCCGGAUUUAUUGGGCGUAAAGAGAGUGCAGGCGGUUUUCUAAGUCUGAUGUGAAAGCCUUCGGCUUAACCGGAGAAGUGCAUCGGAAACUGGAUAACUUGAGUGCAGAAGAGGGUAGUGGAACUCCAUGUGUAGCGGUGGAAUGCGUAGAUAUAUGGAAGAACACCAGUGGCGAAGGCGGCUACCUGGUCUGCAACUGACGCUGAGACUCGAAAGCAUGGGUAGCGAACAGGAUUAGAUACCCUGGUAGUCCAUGCCGUAAACGAUGAGUGCUAGGUGUUGGAGGGUUUCCGCCCUUCAGUGCCGGAGCUAACGCAUUAAGCACUCCGCCUGGGGAGUACGACCGCAAGGUUGAAACUCAAAGGAAUUGACGGGGGCCCGCACAAGCGGUGGAGCAUGUGGUUUAAUUCGAAGCUACGCGAAGAACCUUACCAGGUCUUGACAUCUUGCGCCAACCCUAGAGAUAGGGCGUUUCCUUCGGGAACGCAAUGACAGGUGGUGCAUGGUCGUCGUCAGCUCGUGUCGUGAGAUGUUGGGUUAAGUCCCGCAACGAGCGCAACCCUUGUUACUAGUUGCCAGCAUUAAGUUGGGCACUCUAGUGAGACUGCCGGUGACAAACCGGAGGAAGGUGGGGACGACGUCAGAUCAUCAUGCCCCUUAUGACCUGGGCUACACACGUGCUACAAUGGACGGUACAACGAGUCGCGAACUCGCGAGGGCAAGCAAAUCUCUUAAAACCGUUCUCAGUUCGGACUGCAGGCUGCAACUCGCCUGCACGAAGUCGGAAUCGCUAGUAAUCGCGGAUCAGCAUGCCGCGGUGAAUACGUUCCCGGGCCUUGUACACACCGCCCGUCACACCAUGAGAGUUUGUAAC
rnacentral:rRNA from 2 species